AUACAGAUCACCUGGGGGUCUUGUUAAAAUGCAGAUUCUGAUUCAGAUGGUCUAGACUGAAGCCUGAGAUAUUGUAUUUCUAGCACACUCCUAGGAGAUUCCACA
rnacentral:pre_miRNA from 1 species